UGAAAAUAUGAUCAGAAUUGUUCUGUGUGUCAGGAGGCCAAAGGAGCACAAGAAAAGUGUUGUAGCUCCACUUAUCCAUAUCACGAGAAUUAGCAUAUUUUGAAGCAAAUUAGCAAUCAGUCCAUCAUCCAUUGGCAUUGUACUUUGAAGGGUGGAGAGUUAAUACCCAAUUUUUGUUUUUUUGAUUCAGGGAUCCCCAUAGACAAGAAACUACUUGUUUCUGACCUUUUUUUGGGUUUUCUUUUUAUAUGUGUACAGCCUAGGAUUGUUUCAUG
rnacentral:misc_RNA from 1 species